rnacentral:tRNA from 1 species
GCGUUUGUGGAUUAAUGGAAAAAGCACCGGCCUCCUAAGCCGGUGAUUGCGAGUUCUAGUCUCGCCAGAGGUA